rnacentral:rRNA from 1 species
UACGUAGGGGGCAAGCGUUGUCCGGAUUCAUUGGGCGUAAAGAGCGUGUAGGCGGCCAGGUAGGUCGGUUGUGAAAACUGGAGGCUCAACCUUCAGAGGUCGACCGAAACCAUCUGGCUAGAGUCCGGGAGAGGAGAGUGGAAUUCCUGGUGUAGCGGUGAAAUACGUAGAGAUUGGGAAGAACACCAGUGGCGAAGGCGGCUAUCUGGACGGUUUCUGACACUAAGACGCGAAAGCGUGGGGAGCAAACAGG